rnacentral:rRNA from 1 species
AAUAGAUACCCGGGUAGUCCACGCCGUAAACGAUGAGUGCUAAGUGUUAGAGGGUUUCCGCCCUUUAGUGCUGCAGCUAACGCAUUAAGCACUCCGCCUGGGGAGUACGGUCGCAAGACUGAAACUCAAAGGAAUUAACGGGGGCCCGCACAAGCGGUGGAGCAUGUGGUUUAAUUCGAAGCAACGCGAAGAACCUUACCAGGUCUUGACAUCCCACUGACCGGUAUAGAGAUAUACCUUUCCUUUCGGGGACAGUGGUGACAGGUGGUGCAUGGUUGUCGCCAGCUCGUGUCGUGAGAUGUUGGGUUAAGUCCCGCAACGAGCGCAACCCUUGAUCUUAGUUGCCAGCAUUUAGUUGGGCACUCUAAGGUGACUGCCGGUGACAAACCGGAGGAAGGUGGGGAUGACGUCAAAUCAUCAUGCCCCUUAUGACCUGGGCUACACACGUGCUACAAUGGAUGGUACAAAGGGCUGCAAGACUGCGAAGUCAAGCCAAUCCCAUAAAACCAUUCUCAGUUCGGAUUGCAGGCUG